ensembl:lncRNA
AGCAGCUUGCUUCUGGCAAAGAUAUGCGCAAAGCUUUCUCGCUGAGACGCCUGUUCACACUGUGGUCAUCAUAUUACGUCUAAAGUUUCAUCACAUCAUUUCAUCUCAUAAAAGAGGAAAUGACUGCUUGGAAAAUUUAAGUAACUUUGCCUGAAAUCCAAUAAAACUACAGAACCAGAGCCAGCAGUCAAUUCCCAGUCCCAACCGGGGACCAUGUCCAGCCAUCGUUUCCUCCUCUCAGGUGCUCCAAGAAGCUCAUGAGCUCCAUGUACAUCUUUUCUACCUCUCAGGACGAACCUCGAGCAUCGCUGUGCCUUCCCAUCAAUGCCAUCACACUGUUGCCAUGGGGACAGCCAACCGCUCAUCCGCCCCCAGCAACCCUCGGCCUGUCUCGCCAAAGCCACUGGCAAAUAUAUCUGAUCUCAAAAUGUCAUCAAACAUCAACCUCCAUUCAUUUUGCUUUUGAAGGGCAAGGAGGCUUAAUGAAUUUUUCUUCUUUGCUAUUUUUCCCUGCAAAAGGAGUGGAAUGCUUUCUAUUUUGCAAUAAAUAAAAAACUUUCAAUCUAACUCUUAAAUCCCUG